UUGGGUUAAGUCCCGCAACGAGCCGCAACCCCCUGCUCUUAGUUGCCAUCAGAUAAUGCUGGGGACUCUAAGAGGACUGCCGAGGACAACUCGGAGGAAGGUGGGGAUGACGUCAAGUCAGUAUGUCCCUUACGUCCAGGGCUACACACGUGUUACAAUGGCCAGUACAACGGGUUGCUAAGCCGCAAGGUGGAGCUAAUCCCUCAAAACUGGCCUCAGUUCGGAUUGGAGUCUGCAACUCGACUCCAUGAAGUCAGAAUCGCUAGUAAUCGCGGAUCAGAACGCCGCGGUGAAUACGUUCCCGGGCCUU
rnacentral:rRNA from 1 species